GCUGUUUGUCGUCAGACCCCAUUCUCCAGCAGGGCGGAGGAAUGAGGCGCUAAUCUGGGUGAUAAACCCGCGUAGCUCAUCAGGGAGCGAAAUCCCCAUGGCUCAUCUGGCAAGUCAGGAAAACUGGAGUUUGCGGUGAAGGAUCGGGUCGGGGGUCGGGGGAGAAGGAAGGAGGAGGAUAAAUUUGUCUUCCUCACCAGUCAAGCUGGGAAUUUGCGCUGCAGUAACAGCACGAGGAGCUUUAACAAAUACGAAAAGUGGAUAAAGCACCCAAACGAGUGGUGUAUCCAAACAUAGAAAAAGAUCAUCUAUUUUGAUAGUGAAAACAAAACAGAAUUGCCAUAUUUUCCUCUAAAUUGGCUUUUCAUCUUUAAAUGUGAAAACACCAACACCAGAGAGAGAGGGAGAGAAGGCAGUGUUUAAAACACCACGAACAGAUACCUCCAAGUGCGCUGCUGUGUUUGCACAGCCACCCUGGGUGACACUGGACUCUCCUGGUGAAUGGGUUCCGGGUUCAGAGCACGUAACCGAUUGCUACUCCUGAACUGCUAAAUGUAACCUAUGGGGAAAUUUUGUCUGCGGCAGAAAGGCCGGACAUCGUGAGUGAGUCUGAACGCCCCGCAGGUCCCUCGCGAGGACUUCAUUGCCCACAGCCACUUCAGAACGACCGCGUGGGGACAUUAAAGAUGCAGUUUGUGAAGAACAGCAGGGCAUCACAUGCAAAGCCUCGAAAUAGUCAGCCAGUCAAAUCAGUGGAAAAAAUCAGCUUUUGUUAGAUUUUGCAGUUUCAGGAAUUAGGCAUUCACUGCAGAGCUGCAGUUUUGAGAAAUUGCAGUGUCAGGCGUGUUCCCAAUGGGGAAAUAUUGUGAGAGUGUGGAGGAAUGUAAGAUUGGGUUUGACAAUGGGGGGACUGACAAGAGUUAUCACCCAGACAUUGUUCUCUCUCUGCGCACCCCGGAAACGCUAAGUAGAGACGGUAUCUAGUGGCAGCAAUAGUCCUCCACGCUCACAGACGUGGGGAUGAGAGUCUUAGCCUCGAAAAGACUGGCCUCGGGUUUCACAGGAGGAAAACGAACGCGUAGGGCACAGAACCUCAUAGGUACAGAACACCUAUAAACAGUAUAGUAGCAGGGUAGGGUCGGCCUGAAGACAUUCCAAGCAGAAGCCAACUUCUCCUUUUUCUUUCUAAGCAACAGAACAGGAGGAAAUCCAGGGAGAAACGACACCUGUGCUCAAAGAAAAGGAAGAAUCAUGGUGAGAUACCUCAAUAUAUACUACCCGCAGAUAGGAAUCCAGCUCAGAGACGUUGGUAAAGGGGCUGCAACGCCCCCGAGAAGGUGGUCCAGGAGUGCGACUCCAGAAGACGAGCACGCAAAGCCAUCCUUCUUCUGCCUUAUUGAGAGGCUCGGUGGCAGCAAGGGGACUAUUUCUCGUCCAGAGCCGCAGUCAGGCCCUCAGAUGCACCCACAAAAUCAAGGUGCUGCGGCGGGAGAGAACCCUACAGGCCUGCGGUGAUGGUUCCCGGAAGGAAAGGAAAUCCAGAUCAAAUCUUCAAAACGUUUGCACUUGCAGACAAGAAAGGCUAAGUCCUUGUGCGAAGAAUUCAUCAGCUAAAGAGACUCGCAGCAGUUGUGAAGAGUGUUUACUGUGAUGUGCCUGUACUUCGCUUUCUCCAAGUGUUGUCUGUUAGGGCCUCAGGCAGGACGGGGAGAAAGAAAGGAUCCCACAUUUCAGAAGACCCGCUUCCAGGCUUGGAGUCCAGAGUCAAAACUGGACAACGUUCGUACAAGGAAUGUGUCCGAGUGUUUCCCGUGUGCCAGGCCCUGUUCUAACACGGAGGCCCCGAGUAACAACACAAAGAAAGAGGCCCGCCCCGACCAGCUGACAGUUACAGAUGCUGGGAAGUCCAACGCUGAGGAGGACGGGUUUGCCUUCUGCAACCCGGCCCAUCUAUUGGCUGACAAGGAUUUCCUUUUUUGGAGGGAGCCAGACUGGAACCUCGUUCCCUCACUUGAGAGGGAGAGAGGGACCAAGGCCUGCGAGCAGGCUCGGGGAGGCCCUAGUCUGAGGAGCUACACUCUCUGUAGGACCAGUGGCUCGGACUACGCCUGUCAUGCUAGAACGGCAGCCUCGAACACAGCAGCUCCAGGCUGCCCGCGCCUCGCGUCCUAGUAUCUGUCCAGAAACGAGCAAAUACAUCUUCCCCACACUGAUGUCGGGGCAGUCCUGCUUUGCUUUCCCUGAAUCGUCCUCCCUUCCAAAGCCACUGCAAUCCACCCAAGGGGGCCGGGGGUCCUGAUGAAUGGGGCAAGCGGGCCUAGAGAAGAAACAGGACCGCGUUGUUUUCCUGUCCCGAGACGGGGGCUCUUCGGCGUGCCUCCAUCUAAGUCCCCGCUCUAGGACGGUUCAAGCCGAGAGGCAGCAAACGGCCAGGCCGAGGCUCAGGCGCACUUGGGACGUGGGUACCGGAGCUGGGGAAGCCCCAGCCCAAAGUGUGAAAUCAGAUGAGGUGUUAUUAGUAACUCCCUGGGUCAUAUUUCCUGAAGCUAAACUGGGGGGACGGGGCGGUGAGAGGGAGCCGUUUGCCAUUAAUCUGGGAACAAACGGUCAAGCUCGGUGACUGGGCUUUUCGCUUUUCUUUUCUCACUCUUCUCAGUGCGGGGAAGCGGCGCGCCCGCGCGGAGCGAUUGUGAGGCUCUGCUGGAAUUUGGCAGCCCGUGGGCUUGGAGAGCAGCCCCAUGCUGGCCGCUAUUCAGCGCCCCGCUCUCCUCGAGCUUUGCAAGUUUCACUCAGCCGUGCACUCAAUGGCUUCACAAAGCUGAUUACAAGCUUCAGCGCAUUCCUGAAGGAGCCAAAAGCGACGCAGGUGCAAACGAGCCGAGGGAGCCCCUUAUCCCGGUGACAGAAUGGGACAAGCUGGGAAAGGCUUGGACCACACAAAUCCAAGCGCACCAGGCGGCAGAAAGCCUGCCUUGGGAACCGGGGGUCAUUAUCCGCCCUAUUCAGCGGGGCCCGGGGACCCUGGGGGCCCGGAAGGCCAGCUCGCGAGGGAGAGCCGGCGGCCGUGGGGACCCCGACGGGCCUGCGGCUGGGUUGGGACGCUGGCCGCCCGCGACUUGUGCAUUUGCACCGAUGGCGCCAGUGAAAUCCGUGCUCGGACAGGCCCGGGUCAACACCAGUAGGGACAGAGGACGCAGCCCGGUGUGUGGACUGCGCGCAACCUUUGUUCAACCAGCGUCCAGACCGCACCGCCCUGUCCCUGUCCCAGCCUGGCGCUCCGGGGCCCGGCCACUCCCCCAGGCUACCGACCGUCAGCUCCGAGGGUCACUCUGCGCCCUUUCUCCCCCAGCCCGCCUUCCCCAUCUGUCCUCGUGGCAGCCGGGUCCUGCGUAGGGCGACCCCGACGCCGUAAGGUGGCAGGGACAGUGUCCGCGCGGGGAGUCAGGAUGGCGGGUCACCGGGCCGCCCCGUCGGAGCGCGCUCCCCGUGGCCUAGGAUGCCUGCACCGCGAGUCGGACUCCACGGCGGGGAGGAGGGCCGGCCCCCCUCGGGGGAUGAAUGACGUCCCCGGCUGCGCUGGAGGACAGAAAACCAGGGCCGCGGGCGGCGGAGAGAGAAGGGCAGCGCCGCGGGGAACGCGCGUGAGAGGAGGGCCCGGGAGGGGGGCGCGGGGGGUGG